UACACAAACGUGGGCAAGGCGUAAAAAUUUCAUCACAAUAAACUCCAGAAAAAUCCAUUGAGACGACUUUUGUGUUAAAGAAAAAAGUGAAAUAGCUCGUGAAUUUUCUUCCUGCCACGAUUCAGUGUUGAGCGAAGUGAUUGGGAGUACGUGGGAGAGUGUUUUGGACUGUUUUCUCUUGACAGUCGCUGCACAUAACCUCACAGGAGACCAUCCAAAAGUCCUCAGAGGACAGCAUAUGGUGGAAUUUUUCUGAAAAAUUCCCCACUGAGAUCUCCACACAUUUCCCGGAUUGUUGAAUUUGCACAGAGAUACAGGAUGCCAGCCAGCAGUGGUCCAGUGUAUCAGCCAACGACUGUGUCUUAUGAGCCAAGGCCAGGAGGUUUGCUCGCCCAGACGACUUCCGUAUCGUCGUCUCUGCGAAUGCUGAAGAAACCCCUGCCACAGGCUCUUUUGCUCUUCGUGGCGCUCCUCUUUGUCGCAGCUGGAGUGACAAUGAUUGCAAAUGGAGCUGCAGACUUUGAGGAUACAGAGGAACACAAGGAGGAAUUGGGAAUGGACACAGCAGAGACAACUGAGGGGGUGGAUAUUGGGGUGGUGGUGGGUGGUGUAUUCAUGACAGUGUUUGGCUUCUUCCUCCUGGGCCUGUAUAUCAAAGUGGCCGAUUGGCGUCGCAGCUGUAUCUGCCCGUGCCAUCUGUCGAAGAAACAGGGUCUGGCCAGGCAGUUCCAGGGUUCGGGUGGGGGUCAAAUCCUCGCUCUCAAUCCCUCCACUGAUCCCCUCGUCUCCCACACUCAGUACGCCCCCGUGUCGGAGCUGCCAGCGCGUCCCGAUGACGAGGAACGACGCAAUCUCAUGCCUGACACCAAGGAAUGCGUCAGCAGUGCUGAAGAGUCCGAUCGGAUGCUGGAUCCAGAUCCUCGCAUCGUCCUCCGUCCCACCGGUCAUGUCGAGGAGGCAUAACUAAUAGUGAAACUGAAGGCCCUCUUCGUGCGCUUGGCGCGCAGGAGACGUCGCGACAAGUUCUAGGAGGCGCAACGCCAAUGGCGGCUACAUAAGGGAGAAUGAAUUUUACAUUAAAUCAUAACUUGAAAAACAUAGAAUUUCUAUGAUAAUGUUUUUCUAGCUUUAUCGUAAAGCUGAAGAUGUGAAAUAUGAAUUAUUUGCCUAAUUAUUUAAAUUCUAUGAUAUGUUUUUUCAACUAUUUUGGUGAUAAGGUAAUGACAAAAGGCAUUAAAAAAAAAUCAUAGAAUUGUGAUUAAAAUUGAUAAUUCCAUAACACUACAAAAUCGAUGAAUCUCUAUGACUCUCCAUAAAAUUAAAGAAUAGCUUUUAAAUAAGUGCGAAUAUAUUAUAAAAAAAGAAGUUUGCUUAUAAUAUCACUAAAAGUGACGUCAUUUUAAUUGUCUACAUUUGGAAGUAAACAAUUUAGUCGAGACACCUUGCCUAAUCCCACUUCUGAAAUGAAAUAAAAAAUAAUUUGGAAUUUAAUCCAAAAAUGAAAAUAAAUUUGCAUGCAAAUUUUUUAUCACUUGAGAGACUGUUUGAUGAAUUUUUCACGGUAAAUUAAUGUCCCCUUCGUGUGGAACCUCAUUGUUAUCUGGAAGACCUGUGUUCUGACGACAUCCAAAGAAAAUGAAUAUAAAAAAAAUAACAAAUGAAACUAAAAGACCUUUUUUAGUGGCAAUCUCUAUAUUUAUUGAAAGAUAUAAAAUUCAGAAACAAUUAGGUUUCACUCUCUAUAAUCUCUGUGUGUGUUCUUCUUCCGGCCCAAGAAGGAGGAGAAAGAAGCAAAGAAGACACUCUUGGAAACUAAUACAAAUAGAGAUAUAUUUCUAUAUUUACUCCAAUUGAACUAAUAUUUUUCUAUCCAAAACGAAAAAGAAGUAAAAUCAAGAGAAAGAGAGUAGAAAAUGUUGAUGGCAUAAAUGAAAUUGAAAAGUAUUAAAGACAAAAAAAUUUAUGGAAAUGGCAUUUAAUAACACAUGAAAGUAAAUAAUCUCUAUUGAGUAGAAAAUAAAUCGCAAUUUAGUGUAAUAAUUCUACAACAAGAAGAUAAAAAAAACAAGAAUAACUAGUAAUACAAGUGAAGAAAAUAACACCAGUUGCAAUUGAAACUCGUAGCAUUAAAAAAAAUAAAUUAAUUAAAGAGUGAAAAGAGAAGGAGAAUAUUGAUGUAAAAUCACAUUUUAAAUGUAAUUUUGACGAAGCUUGAAUCUAUAAAAGUGAUUGUUUUUAUAGUUAGACAAGCUAAAAACAAAUAUCACAUAAAGAAAACUAUACAAAAACAAAGUAAUUAAACUAAUACAUUUUUUGCCUAGUUUUUAUUACUGAUGAUGAUCUUACAAAUUCCCGUCCAUUAUUUAAUUUUUUUACACAAUUAUUUAAAAAAAAAGAAGAUUUUAAAUGUUUUUCAUUAAAUGUGGCUUGGCCAUUUUCUCCCCAGGAAUUUAUCACAAUUGAAUAAUUAUUUGUGACUCAUUGUUUUUUUGAGGUUGUAUCAUUGUACUUACAAAUAUUUAGUCAAUAAAAUUCUUUUAAAAAAUA